rnacentral:rRNA from 1 species
CACCGCGGUUAUACGAGAGGCCCAAGCUGACGGAACCUCGGCGUAAAGCGUGGUUAAAUUAAAUAAAGAAUAAAGCCGAAUGUUCUUAAGACUGUUAUACGUAUCUAAGAGCUAGAAGCCCUUCUACGAAAGUGGCUUUACCCCCUUGAAUCCACGAAAGCUAAGAUA